GGAGGUAAAAGUCGUAACAAGGUUUCCGUAGGUGAACCUGCGGAAGGAUCAUUAUUGUAUAACCGAGGUGCGAGGGCUGUCGCUGACCCGAAAGGUCGUGCACGCCCGAGUGCCCUCACACACAUCGAUCUCACCCCUAUGUGCACCACCGCGUGGGUCCCCCUUUGGCUUGUUCGGAGGGGGGCUUACGUUUUCACACAAACUUUGUAUGCAGUGUAGAAUGUAUUUUUUGUUUUUGCGAUCACGCAAUCAAUACAACUUUCAACAACGGAUUUCUUGGCUCUC
rnacentral:misc_RNA from 1 species